ensembl:lncRNA
CACCCGCCCCACAACCACCACCCGCCCCACAACCCCCACGACAACCGCAGGGCAGUGCGAUAACGGCGGGACGUGGCAGAGUGGGGGCUGUGUGUGCCCCGACGGCUUCACGGGGGAGCGCUGCAGUUACGCCGAGGAACGCAUCGACGCCACGGCCGAGACCAACGGGACGGUGCCCGUGGAGGUCCGCGUCACCAAUAGGGUUUUUGAGGAGGCCUUCCAUGAUAACACAUCGCACCAAUAUCAGACCUUCGUCGAGGACUUCAAGAAGCAGAUGGAUAAGGUCUAUAGAACGUCAGGGGGUACCGCGGCAUCCAAGUCCUACAACUGAGGAACGGCAGUGUGAUCGUGGACCACGUGGUGUUGGUGGCGCUGCAGGUGACGGCCGACAGCCAACAGCGGCUGCAGAGCAUCGCCCACAGCGUCCAGAGGGAAAUCCAGGGGGC